UACAGAGGGUGCAAGCGUUAAUCGGAAUUACUGGGCGUAAAGCGCACGUAGGUGGAUGAUUAAGUCGGAUGUGAAAGCCCUGGGCUUAACCUAGGAAUUGCACUCGAUACUGAUUGUCUAGAGUAUAGUAGAGGGAAGUGGAAUUUCCGGUGUAGCGGUGAAAUGCGUAGAUAUCGGAAAGAACAUCAGUGGCGAAGGCGGCUUCCUGGACUAAUACUGACACUGAGGUGCGAAAGCAUGGGGAGCAAACAGG
rnacentral:misc_RNA from 1 species